UAGGAUACAAGUUUUAAAACAAGCCCAAUUCAGAUGCAAUUGGAAUCAGUACAUUAAAAUUAGGUUUGAAUAAAAUGUCACCCCAAGGAACAAUGAAAACAACACUUUGGUUGUAAAUUGGGAAAAAAUCAACAGGGAGCUGAAGGCAUGCUCAAUGAGGAAACAGUCUGCUCAAGGCCGGAGCAUAGGCUGAAGUUCAAAAUGAGGGCAUGCAUCCCUCUUGACCCUUUCCAGGAAAGUAGAUGAGAACAUCUGCAAUGGGGCUUUCUAUGGAAAGCCAAUGGGUACAAGUUCAGCUCAAGACCUUGAGCCAGCUGGAGAGGUAUGUCCUACAUAAUGAGGUGCUUUCAAAUGACCUCGCUCUGAAACCCUUGCUCUUAUUUUCUGUGAUGCUCACUCUCUUUCUGUCUCUGUUCAGAAACUCGGAGUCUCUCCUAGAAAUAUGUCGCCAGUUAAGGAUCUCUGCGUGCAAUUUUGAAGCCUUGAGUCACGGUCCACCAAAUCUCUUAACGACUCUCCAGUUGCCAACAAAGCGUGGCAGCAGAAGUUCCCCCCUGCGGUCUCAAAGAAAGGAAAGCAGCCUGAAAGUUGGUCAUGAUCUAAAUGACUGAAGCCCUGCUUCUUCGGACGAUCUCCCAGAGGGCUACAGAAGACCACACUGAAGUCAAAACCUCUCUCUCUCUGGCCUAGGGUCGACUAGUCUCUUAAAGCAAUAAAUCAUGUUAAAAAGCAAACCUCCUUUUUGAGCAAAGUUUGUUUUUUAUUUAGACUCGUACAAAGAAGAGUAUUCAAACAAGUUCAGUAGGUGCUUUACACACAAUGACGAGUUUCUCUAAAAUUAGCGCAUGACUACAAGUGAUCCUUGAUAUAGGUGUGUUGACAAACAAUGAGUUAAAGUUUCUGAUACAGUGCAUAGUCAGCAUGCCAUUGGUCCUAUAGUAUGCACCUGUACAUACACGCAUUCGACUUUACAAUGACCGGUGCCAUUGUGUGUGGCAAAAGCCCCGGUUACCAAGGGUAACAAUCCUUUUUUUUUCUUAUAAUCGCCUUUGUCUUGGCUUCUGUCAUUGGCUCAUAAAUCUCUGGUAAAUCGCCACUGAAGACAGGCCUUAUUAAGCGUCCAUUGUGAUGCGUUUUUAAAGCCACCGGGUGUUCUACGAAGUCUCAGGCCAUCGCCGGCACGUUCUGCUCUGUCUGUCUGAAUGUUACACUUCUAGAAUACUAACUAUGUGCCUGUCAGUAGACCCCGGCUUCUUUUCCCCAUCCAAAUGGGGCCCCAACAGUCGUCGCGCUCUACUAGAAUAUCUAAGUACUUCUGAGAAGCAGGAUUUGUUUAGUUUUUUUUUCUCCACACAUAAUUAAUACAGAAAUUAAACAUGACACGGACAGAUUGGCAUUAACUCAAGUUACUUGACUGAAUUGCACAUUUUAGCCUCCUUUUGGGGCUAAUCUCAUCAGAAAAGUACUUUUUAUGUUAAAUUUGAUUAUUGUCAAAUAAAGGCUGAUAAAAUGCCCCCAUGUGUCGGUGGAACAUUCAGUCUGCAGAGUUUUCAUUACUGCGCUAAUGGCGCUAAAUGAGGGAGUAGCAAUGUUUGGUUGGUGUAAACCAGGGAUUUGUUUGUCCUUGCAGACUCUGAUAAUGGGGUAAAAUGGAGGUGUUUACACAUCUUUUAGGACAACACUGUGAGCAUCCCAUCUGGUCAGAGCAACAACAGUGAGCACAGGAUAUUUAUGUUACUGCUGGAGAAUGCUCAUUUGGCAACAGCUGUGUGUGAACUAGAAAGCCGGGUAUAUAUGUGUCUUUAUUGUCAACAUCUCACACAAUUCUAUUCGUCUUUUCUUGCUUUUUCAGCUUCUCAAUGUGUUGAAUUGAUGACUGUCCCUUCGGGGAAAAAAAGAUAUUUAAUCCUUUAGCAAACACCACAGUGAAGUUUAAUCCUUAAAAAUAUUUUCCUAAGGAUUUCUAUUCAUGUACAACUGAAACUCCAUCAUAACCAGGGCCUGUGAAAUAGGCCAGGAGAUAUGUCAAACCCUUCUCAGAUUUAUUAGAGAAGUAAGCGCCUUACGCGUUACGCAAAAUUUAUUGUGAGAAGUGAAUCAUUGCUUGGCCUAGUUUGAUUUACUUAGGAACUACAAAAAUAAAAAGCUACCCUGUGCUCCCUACUCAAUUUAAUUGCAGGACGACAAAUUCUAAACAUUUCUUAAAUAUCUCAGUCACUUUAUAUUGGUAAAAUGUAUCUAGAGCUUUGUCCUCAUUUUUGUAAGGUUGAACCAGUCCGUGUAACACUGGAAACUAUCCAUGCCUUCUUUGGGCCUGGCAAAAAUAACGUAACUUGAAUCCGCAAAGAAUUAUCAGAGAAAAGCAGCCAUAGUUAGCUAUAAUUAUAUGUUCUACAUAAAAACCAUGAUAUUAAAAUGAGAACUAGAGGGAAAGACAGAAGGAAAUUGAAUAAGAAUAAGGACAGAACAAGAAGGAGAGGGAAAAAACAGAGGGGUGAGAGAGUGAGAUGUUGUGGAUCUUGGCAAUGGAAAAUGUCACAGGAGGUUUAGCAAGGGGAGCCCGAGAGGAGACACACAUUUGGUUGCAGGGUAUUGCUUUACAGUUAAUAUCUGUUAUUGUUGAUGAAAGGGCUCUCCAGAACUACAUGUAUCAACGUGUGAGGGAAAAGAAGAUUGGGGCUGGUAUAAACUAAACUGUUGUCCCAAAAGCCGGCACCAGUCAGUCAGCUCAGUCCGACACCUAAUCUAAAUGGAUUUUGUCAAUCACAGUUACUUAUAAAUAGGUCAGAUGCAACUCUGUUUAAAUCCAAUGGUGACAACAUGGGAGCUUCUGCCAUUACCCUCCCUGUUGUGUUUACAGUCUCACAGUGUGACCGUGAAUUAACCUCGCUUUCUUUUUCCUUUCAGAGGUAGAGCAUUUAUUUUAAACAAUCAGUCUUAUCUCACCAAGUGGUAUCGUUUUACAGGUUUUGCUGUUCAAAGAUCACUUUUAUAUUGAGAGU